GUCAUUCCUCUCUACCUUUGUGACUAUUAUACCUGUUGCUUCGGCGGCGCCCGCGAGGGUGCCCGCCGGUCUCAUCAGAAUCUCUGUUUUCGAACCCGACGAUACUUCUGAGUGUUCUUAGCGAACUGUCAAAACUUUUAACAACGGAUCUCUUGGCUCCAGCAUCGAUGAAGAACGCAGCGAAACGCGAUAUGUAAUGUGAAUUGCAGAAUUCAGUGAAUCAUCGAAUCUUUGAACGCACAUGGCGCCUUCCAGUAUCCUGGGAGGCAUGCCUGUCCGAGCGUCGUUUCAACCCUCGAGCCCCCGUGGCCCGGCGUUGGGGAUCUGCCACGGCAGGCCCCUAAAACCAGUGGCGGACCCGAAGGCCCUCUCCUUUGCGCAGUAGCAUCAGCCUCGCAUUGGGAUCCCUCGGCGUCCUGCCUCUAAACCCCCCACAAGUCCGCUCCGGCGGCACCAAGGUUGACCUCGGAUCAGGUAGGAAUACCCGCUGAACUUAAGCAUAUCAAAAACCGGGAGGAA
rnacentral:rRNA from 1 species